rfam:Microgenomates (Levybacteria) bacterium GW2011_GWB1_39_7 TT56_C0015, whole genome shotgun sequence.
AAUAUAUAUUGGAAAUCGCCGUGAAAGUCGGCGGAACUGCCGGUACUGUUAUAUCCAGAAAACAAUAUAUAUU